CAGUCGCCGCGGUAAUACAGAGGGUGCGAGCGUUAAUCGGAUUUACUGGGCGUAAAGCGUGCGUAGGCGGCUUCUUAAGUCGGAUGUGAAAUCCCUGAGCUUAACUUAGGAAUUGCAUUCGAUACUGGGAAGAUAGAGUAUGGGAGAGGAUGGUAGAAUUCCAGGUGUAGCGGUGAAAUGCGUAGAGAUCUGGAGGAAUACCGAUGGCGAAGGCAGCCAUCUGGCCUAAUACUGACGCUGAGGUACGAAAGCAUGGGGAGCAAACAGGAUUAGAUACCCGUGUAGUCCCUGUCUCUUAUAC
rnacentral:rRNA from 1 species